rnacentral:ncRNA from 1 species
AAGAUAGAGGUUGCAUAAUCUAAGAGUAUUUGAAAACAAGAUUUGUGUAUCGUUUUCAAAGAAAGGAGAGGUUGCCGAAGGGUUUUUACAGACACAACUGUAAAUAUUCUGGGACAAUAUAUAAUAUGUAUUGGACUGUCACAAUCUGUGGAGAGCUAUCAU